CUCAAACAUCGAGACUUGAAUGAGCUACAAUGAGAAAUAAGAACACAGAUUUUUAUAUACUCGUCGUACAACCAAGUAAUAUUCCUGUUGAGCUACAAUGAGAAAUAGGAAUCUUAUGGGGUCCCAAAUCCUCUGUUGGAGUUAUGUACGGUAAUUACUUUUGGCAAUUUUAACAGGAAAUGCGAUCAUCAAAAUUCACAUACAGGUGUGGAACCUCGUACAUCUAAAAGAUUUGAUAGUCAAGAAAACCUUUUCUGCGGAAUCGCAUAAUCAUAAUAAACCUCUUGCAGUCUCAUAAUCCAAAUUCUAUAGAUGAAUAAGCCCCCACUCUUUACCAAAAAAAAAAAUCCUUUUUCACUAAAUCAUCCGGCAAAAACAAAUCCAAAUCCAAAAUAAGUUUCAUUUUUGGUAAAGUCUGGAAGUUCGUGAAGGAGCCAGUUUAAAAACAUGCAAUUUAAGUACUUUCAACUAAAUGAAAGCAAAUAUGUAAGAGUUCUCUCAAGAACGAAAAGGUUGGUUUGUUGCUUACCAAUAUUAUGAGAUGGUACUAUACUUCUUCAUGGCGUAGAGUUUGACUCUGAGUCCACGUAACGCAGAAGCCAAACGGGGGACUUAAGUAUCCGAAUAAACUUAUUCUCCAUCCAAUCGAGCAGUUGGUGAUUACAAAAGAAGGUAAUGUAAGAAUAUUUAUUCCUAUAUGUUUUAUAUGCAUCUGUCGGUUUAGUUAUAUAUGGAUCAAGUUCAUACUAAAUUUAUAAAUUCAAAUA